UGGGGAAUAUUGGACAAUGGGCGCAAGCCUGAUCCAGCAAUGCCGCGUGUGUGAAGAAGGCCUUCGGGUUGUAAAGCACUUUCAUUCAGGAGCGAAACGCUGUCGGCUAAUACCCGGCGGAACUGACGGUACCUGAGGAAUAAGCACCGGCUAACUUCGUGCCAGCAGCCGCGGUAAUACGAAGGGUGCAAGCGUUAAUCGGAAUUACUGGGCGUAAAUGCGUGCGUGUGCNUUCUUAAGUCUGCUGUGAAAUCCCCGGGCUCAACCUGGGAAUGGCAGUGGAUACUGGGAGGCUAGAGUGUGUCAGAGGGUGGUGGAAUUCCCGGUGUAGCGGUGAAAUGCGUAGAGAUC
rnacentral:rRNA from 1 species